GCGAAGAUAACUCAAUUGGUAGAGUAUGACCUUGCCAUGGUCAAAGUUGCGGGUUCGAGUCCCGUUCUUCGCU
rnacentral:tRNA from 1 species